rnacentral:tRNA from 70 species
GCCAGUGUGAUGGAAUUGGUAGACAUGACGGAUUCAAAAUCCGUUGCCUUCGGGCGUGGCGGUUCAAGUCCGCCCACUGGUACCA